rnacentral:lncRNA from 1 species
CAAGAUAGGUGUGUUGUGGCCAACCCAAGAUGGUACUUGUCCUGAAAUUGAAGUUAUGAAUCUCUUGACCUAUAUGUUACAUGGCCUAAGUCGUCGUUACAACAUUCUUCGAUGGCUUAAGUGAUUGUUAUUGUUUAGUUGAUUAUUAUUAUUUUACCUUUGCUUUUUUAUUUUAUUUUGGAUGUUUAAUACAAAAAGUAAACAUAUAAGAUUUU